rnacentral:rRNA from 1 species
CUAGUAACGGCGAGCGAAGCGGCAACAGCUCAAAUUUGAAAUCUGGCUAUUUUGUAGUCCGAGUUGUAAUUUGUAGAGGAUGCUUUUGGUGAGGUGCCUUCCGAGUUCCCUGGAACGGGACGCCAGAGAGGGUGAGAGCCCCGUACGGUUGGAUACCAAACCUUUGUAUAGCUCCUUCGACGAGUCGAGUAGUUUGGGAAUGCUGCUCUAAAUGGGAGGUAUAUCUCUUCUAAAGCUAAAUAUAGGCUAGAGACCGAUAGCGCACAAGUAGAGUGAUCGAAAGAUGAAAAGCACUUUGAAAAGAGAGUUAAACAGCACGUGAAAUUGUUGAAAGGGAAGCGCCUAUGACCAGACUUGUUUCUUUCAGUUUUGUUAGUUUUCGGACUGAUUUACUCUGUUAGUACAGGCCAGCAUCAGUUUGUUGUCAGGGAGAAAGGCUUAGGGAAUGUGGCUCUUUCGGGAGUGUUAUAGCCCUUUGCAUAAUACCUUUCGGCAGACUGAGGACCGCGCUUCGGCAAGGAUGCUGGCGUAAUGGUCAUCAGCGACCCGUCUUGAAACACGGACCAAGGAGUCAACCUUAUGUGCGAGUGUUUGGGUGUAAAACCCCAGCGCGUAAUGAACGUGAACGUAGGUGAGAGCUUCGGCGCAUCAUCGACCGAUUCUGAUGUUCUCGGAUGGAUUUGAGUAAGAGCACACAGGGUUGGACCCGAAAGAAGGUGAACUAUGCUUGUAUAGGGUGAAGCCAGAGGAAACUCUGGUGGAGGCUCGCAGCGGUUCUGACGUGCAAAUCGAUCGUCAAAUAUGAGCAUGGGGGCGAAAGA